rnacentral:rRNA from 1 species
CCCCUUAGAGUUUGAUCAUGGCUCAGGACGAACGCUGGCGGCGUGCUUAACACAUGCAAGUCGAACGGAAAGGCCCAGCUUGCUGGGUACUCGAGUGGCGAACGGGUGAGUAACACGUGGGUGAUCUGCCCUGCACUCUGGGAUAAGCCUGGGAAACUGGGUCUAAUACCGGAUAUGACCAACUGUCGCAUGGUGGUUGGUGGAAAGCUUUUGCGGUGUGGGAUGGGCCCGCGGCCUAUCAGCUUGUUGGUGGGGUAAUGGCCUACCAAGGCGACGACGGGUAGCCGACCUGAGAGGGUGAUCGGCCACACUGGGACUGAGACACGGCCCACACUCCUACGGGAGGCAGCAGUGGGGAAUAUUGGACAAUGGGCGAAAGCCUGAUCCAGCCAUGCCGCGUGUGUGAAGAAGGUCUUCGGAUUGUAAAGCACUUUAAGUUGGGAGGAAGGGCAGUAAGUUAAUACCUUGCUGUUUUGACGUUACCGACAGAAUAAGCACCGGCUAACUUCGUGCCAGCAGCCGCGGUAAUACGAAGGGUGCAAGCGUUAAUCGGAAUUACUGGGCGUAAAGCGCGCGUAGGUGGUUCAGCAAGUUGGGAUGUGAAAGCCCCCGGGCUCAACCUGGGAACUGCAUCCAAAACUACUGAGCUAGAGUACGGGAGAGGGGGGGGGGGGAAAUUUUCCUGGGUGUAGCCGGUUGAAAUGCGUAAAAAUAAAGGAAAGGAACCCCAGUGGCGGAGGGCCACCACCUUGGACUGAUACUGACACUGAGUGCGAAGCGUGGGGAACAAACAGGAUUAACUCCGCUUGUAGUCCCACGCCAGUAAACGAUGUCACUAGCCGUUGGGGAGCUUUGACUCUAAUGGCGCAGCUACGCAAUAGUCGACGCUGAAGAGAGUACGGCCGCUAAGUUCAACUCAAAUGAAUUGACGGGCCUCCGCGCCUAU